GUAACCCGUUGGGGUUUUCUGUGCUGUGAUAAGGUUUGUUCGUUUGCAUUUGGCGUCUGCGUUGCCUUUAUGAGCUGUAGCGCUCACUGCGAAAAUUGUCACUUUAUUUCUGAAGUGGGUGAGAUGACGAGCCCGGCAGGAGGAACGAAACACUCAUCUGUGAAAGUUGCAACUUCAUUUCUGAAGUAGGUGAGACGACUCUGUGAAAGUUGCAACUUCAUUUCUGAAGUGGAUUUCCCAUUUUGGCCACGCUUCACAUGCGACACAUAUAGAAGUACACAGCAGCUUCCCCCCUUACCUGCAAGGGAUAUGUUCAGAGAUCUCCAGUGGAUGCCUGAAACUAUGGAUAGUACUGAAUCCUAUAUAUACUGUUUUUUUCUAUACAUAUAAUAAAGUUUAUAAAUUAGGUACAGUAAGAGAUUAAAAACUCAAAAUAUGAGUUAAACUCAUAUGCAAUAUAAUAUAUGCAAUAAAAUUGAAAUACUGUCAAACUCUGUAAAGUAUUUGAAGAGAUUUGUUCUGAGCCAAAUGUGAGUGACCGUGGCCUCUGACACAGCCCCUGGAGAUCCUGAGAACACGUGCCCAAGGUGGUGGUGGUCAGGGGGGAGCUUCUGGGUCGCAGGUGGAUUCCAAGAUUUUCUGGUUGAAAGUUCAUCUAAAGACCUGAAAUCAAUAGAAGGGAGUGUGUGGGUUAAGAUAAGGUGUUGUGGAGACCAAGGGUCUUAUUCUGCAGAUGAAGCGAGCAGGCUUCAGAGAGCAUCUAUUGUAAAUGUCUCUUUUCAGACUCUCCUGGAUCAGGAGAAAGACCCGGAAAGGGAAGGAGAUUAUCUACAAAAAUGUAGAUUUUCCCCACAAGAGGCAGCUUUGCAGGGCCAUUUCAAAAUAUGUCAAAGAAAUAUGUUUUGGGGUAAAAUACUUCAAUUUCUUUCAGGGCCCGUUGUCUGUCAUGUUGGUAGCUAAUUGCUAGAUAGAGUCUGUUUUGUCAGCGUUAAGGUCUGUUUUAAUGUAAUGCUGGUCAGCUGUGCCUGAAUUCCAACGGGAGGAAGGUAGAAUGAGGCAUGUCUGAGCCCCUCCUCCCUAUUUCACAUCGUGGCCUGAACUAGUGUUUCAGGUUUACUUUCGAAUGCCUUUGGCUGAGAGGAGGGGUCCAUUUGGUUGGGGGGCUUAGAAUUUUAUUUUUGGGCCAGGCUUGGUGGUUCAUGCCUAUAAUCCCAGCGCUUUGGGACGCUGAGGCGGGCGGAUCACCUGAGGUCGGGAGUUCGAGACCAGCCUGACCAACACAGAGAAACCCUGUCUCUACUAAAAAUACAAAAUUAUCUGGGCGUGGUGGCGCAUGCCUGUAAUCCCAGCUACUCGGAAGGCUGAGGCAGGAGAAUCGCUUGAACCCAGGAGGCGGAGAUUGCGGUGAGCCGAGAUCGCGCCGUUGCACUGCAGCCUGGGCAAUAAGAGUUAAGCUCCAUCUCAAAAAAAAAAAAAAAAAGUAUUUUAUUUUUGGUUUACAAUAACAUACUGUAAUAAAAGUUACGUAAAUAUAGGCCAGGCGCGGUGGCUCACGCCUGUAAUCCUAGCACUUUGGGAGGCUGAGGCCGGCAGAUCACUUGAGGUCAGGAGUUUGAGACCAGCCUGGUCAACAUGGUAAAACCCCAUCUCUACUAAAAAUACAAAAAUUAGCCGGGCGUGGUGGUGCACCCCUGUAAUCCUAACUACUCAGGAGGCUGAGGCAGGAGAAUCUCUUGAACCAGGGAGGUGGAAGUUGCAGUGAGCCAAGAUCACGCUGCACUGCAGCCUGGGGGACAAGAGCGAAACUCCGUCUCAAAAAAAGUUAUGUAAAUAUGAUCUCUCUCUCUCCCUCUCUCUCUCUCACACCCACAGUGCUGUACUCACCUAUUUUUGGACCAUGGGUAACUGAAACACUGGAAAAUGAAACCUUCAAUAACUGGUAACUACUGUGUAGGUGCCAUGUAGGGUUUGUGGACUCCUAAUGAGGAAAAAGGAGUGAGGCUGGCAGGACCAGGGGAAAGCAAAGAGAGAAAGCAGAUAAGCUAUAGGUUCGCUUUUCUUUAUGGCCCAAGACAUAUGGCCCACCUGUGCAAAUAAUGUACGUAACUCACAAACUUCCUGCUUAUCAUCAAACACUUCAACUUAUCAUCAAACACCUCUGCUGACAGAAGAAUGCAAGCGAGCUCCCUACUGCCUUGGCGUUCUCAAUCAGCCGAGAACCAUCCUCUGAAACCCUCAGCAAGCCUUUGUUCCCUUGCACUGAACUCCUCUCUUGCUGAUUCUGCCCAUUUCGACCUUAACGAGGUACAUCAUACUUUCUCUAAUAAAUCUGCCUUUCUUUACCUACAGCUAUCUUGGGAAAUUCUUUUACCCCAGCACCAAUGGCCCUGGUAGGUGCUGCUCACCCGUGACAGGGUUCGCAUACUGAAAAAAACACA
rnacentral:lncRNA from 1 species